rnacentral:rRNA from 1 species
CGAAGGGGGCUAGCGUUGCUCGGAAUCACUGGGCGUAAAGCGCACGUAGGCGGCUUUCUAAGUCAGGGGUGAAAUCCUGGAGCUCAACUCCAGAACUGCCUUUGAUACUGGAGAGCUUGAGUCCGGGAGAGGUGAGUGGAACUCCGAGUGUAGAGGUGAAAUUCGUAGAUAUUCGGAAGAACACCAGUGGCGAAGGCGGCUCACUGGCCCGGUACUGACGCUGAGGGCGAAAGCGUGGGGAGCAAACAGGAUUAGAUACCCUGGUAGUCCACGCCGUAAACGAUGGAUGCUAGCCGUUGGCGGGUUUACCCGUCAGUGGCGCAGCUAACGCAUUAAGCAUCCCGCCUGGGGAGUACGGUCGCAAGAUUA